AGCGAACGCUGGCGGCAGGCCUAACACAUGCAAGUCGAACGAUCCUUCGGGAUAGUGGCGGACGGGUGAGUAACACGUGGGAACGUGCCCUUUGGUUCGGAACAACUCAGGGAAACUUGAGCUAAUACCGGAUGUGCCCUUCGGGGGAAAGAUUUAUCGCCAUUGGAGCGGCCCGCGUUGGAUUAGGUAGUUGGUGGGGUAAUGGCCCACCAAGCCUACGAUCCAUAGCUGGUCUGAGAGGAUGAUCAGCCACACUGGGACUGAGACACGGCCCAGACUCCUACGGGAGGCAGAAGUGGGGAAUCUUGCGCAAUGGGCGAAAGCCUGACGCAGCCAUGCCGCGUGAAUGAUGAAGGUCUUAGGAUUGUAAAAUUCUUUCACCGGGGACGAUAAUGACGGUACCCGGAGAAGAAGCUCCGGCUAACUCCGUGCCAGCCGCCGCAGUAAGAC
rnacentral:rRNA from 1 species